rnacentral:rRNA from 1 species
CGGGACCUCAGGUCAGGCGGGGCUACCCGCUGAGUUU